GGUGGGAUCUCCGCUGGGAAGUCCUCAACACCAUCAUCGACCCUCCUUCCAGUGAAACUGCAGUGGAAGAAUCACUCUCACGAAUGUCACGCCCUUCUGGACUCCGGAGCCGAAGGUAAUUUCAUCAAUUCUUCCCUGGCACAUCACCUGAACAUUCCUGUCCUGCCUGUGUCUCUCCCCAUCCACGUCACCGCACUCAACGGCCAGGAACUGCCUCACGUCACACACCACACAGAACCCAUCACACUACUCACUUCUGGCAAUCAUCGCGAGACCAUAUCCUUUUUUCUCAUGGACUCCCCUGUUGCUCCCAUUGUGUUAGGUCACCCCUGGUUAACUAAACAUAAUCCACGAGUGGAGUGGGGUUCCAACACAGUCACAUUGUGGAAUGAAAGUUGUCAUGAGUCUUGUCUGGUUUCUGCUUGUCCUGUUGUCCCUGUUUCUGUUUUUCAGAAAGAGAACAUGGUAUUGCCAAACGUGCCCGCAGAUUAUCUGGACCUGAAGGAAGUGUUCAUGUUGUCUGCGUUUGGAUGUUCGUGUUUCCCCGGAACCUCAUCCACUCUCCGCACUAUCACUCUGCCACAAAGACUUACCUUCAGCUCUAUUCCCCGCAUUUCCUGUGCCAUCCUCUCCUGCUGCCUUCUCACCGUCAUCAUCCGGAUUCCUCACCACCUCACCACCAUCUUGGAUUGUCGUCUUCCCAGCAUCAUUGUCUCAUUCCUGUUUGUUUGUUUAUUUUCAUUAAAUUGUAUAACUCGCUAUUGUUUCCAGUCCUUCAUUCACCCCGCCGUCACACUUAAAUGAUAUGAAAACAUACAUUACAAACAAUCCCCACAGACAUACAUUAUAUAGCAUGGACUUGUCAUUGGGGUUAUGAAGUAGCGUCCUUUUUCAAAGGUUCCAUCCAGUUCGUUUAUAUGGGUAUGUAUGUGUGAAAAUAACUUUUAACAAGUUUCAAACAUCUUGUAGAUGGAAUUAAGAACCUAGCCUGUGUACUUUCUUAAAGAUAUAUAUAUAUAUAUAUAUAUAUAUAUAUAUAUAUAUAUAUAUAUAUACACACACACACACACACACACACAGUGUGUAUAUAUAUAAUUUUGUAGUUCACUAAGUUUGUAUUUGAUGAAAGCAUAAAAUAGCUACAUUUAGAAUGUAUUUUCAGUUAGUAUAGACAUGUCAGUCUAUUUUUAGUACAAUUAUCAUGAAUUAAAUAUAUUUUAAAUACAAUUAAGUAUGUUUAUUUUACACUAGGGUUUACUGAACACUUUCCACAUCAUUGUGAAAGUUUAAUGGAAUAAGUACGUAAACUCGACCUUGUUGUUGUGACCUGGAUGAUCCACAGCUGAUUUUAUAAUGCAUGAAUAAUGAGUUUAAGGAGAUGUUAACAAGUCCUUGCCUGCUGUUCUCCGGGUCCUGCACAUUCUUUUUUUUUUUUUUUCAGCAUAUCCUGCACAUUCAAAGUCUUUACGAUGAUUUUGAGAAUUUUUUUUUUUUCAUUUUAUUACAUUUUUUUGUACUUUUAGGAGCACUUAAACCUACACCAAAUACUAAAACUGUCAUGUUUUUAUGGUAGUAUGCAGUGUAUUUAUAUGGUAUAUAUAUAUAUUAAAGAUGCACCAGGGAUCACUCUCUGAUACUAAACCUGUAAUCUAGAACCUAUUAAUGCUCUCUUUUCCACAUACCUACUUGAAUAUAUACAUAUUGCAAUAUUUUCAUUAAUAUCAAGUCAAUAAAGUGUGAAAUGAAAUCUUGAUACUGAUGCAGAUGUAUAUGUAUGUCUUUUUCAUUGUCAUGGACACUGCAGAAGAUGUCCACAAGGACCCUACAUUAGGUCCCUUGCUGUUUCACAUUUAUAUACAUAAUACAGUAUUGACCCUUGUUUUGAAACUGAAUAACCAAUAUUCAGAAAAACAACAAAGAUGGUAAUGUAUACAUCAGGAUCCUUUCAGUUCAAACUGGUUCAUAGAUUGCCUUGUGAUUCACUUACCCUGAGGGAUAUUAAAG
ensembl:lncRNA